rnacentral:lncRNA from 10 species
AGGCCCACUAUUGAUCGGUCAAAGUGGCACUUAUGAACCUGAGGUUGAAGCAGUUUGGAUAAAAGGAUUCUGGGCUUUCGAUGGCCCCAGAGACAUCUUUUUCCAUCAAGUCCAGGCUUGCUGAUCGGUACAGCUGAGAACAUGUUGAAUUUGAUGUGCCUGUGGAUAUUUGAGUCUGGAACAUUGAAGACAAGUUUGGUCUGGAGAUGUAGACUGGGGAUAUCUCAGCACACAGAUGAUAACUGAAAUGAUGGAGCGGAUGAUAUAAACUGGAGAGAGUCUGGUGUGGGAAGAGUCUUCCCUGAGGUGGCCGAAAGAUGUAAUUCUUACUCCAAAGACUGAAAUAGAGACAAGAGAAGCUGAAGUUACAGGGUUUUGUCAUUGGGAAGACAGUAGAGUGUGUCAUAUCCCAAGAGUGAAGCAAGGACAAACCAAAGAACAACUGGGAAGAUCUGGGAGAAAAAGGUAAACAAAAUUAUUUCCCAGAUAUGAACAACUAU